AAUAAAAAAAAAUCCAAUCUGCAUACAGAAACGUACCACACCUACAUAUGUAUGGUUUAGUGUCCAGAUCUACUGCUUUUCUUAAACUCUUAUGUGAAUGAAUAGAUGGGAUGAGUUUAGCCUGAGUCUGCUGAAGCCGGACUACUGGCAAACCAGAAAUUUUGUCCUUUAUCUGCUUUUCUAAUAUUUUUUCUCUGGGAAUUGGAUCAUUGUGUUCUUCAGGGAGGAAAAAGGGAGAAGAAAUGCUGGUGUGCUUGGAAAACUAAAUUAAGCCCUGGGGACUUUUAGCCAAAAAGAAGAAAAAAAAGGGUAUGCUCACAUCACGUUGGAAAGCUAGAAGUCAAUAUGGAAAACGAGUAAUGAUCAAUGGUACGUGGAAGCGUUUGUUCAAAAUUUACACGUUUUGUCACAAGAUUUUGAGUUACUUAUGAGUAGCUAUAUCAUUUCUCACCACCAAAAGGCAUCUGGAAAGAUGGGAGUAUUAAUAAUUAGAUGGAUGUAGUAAAAUGGAUUGGACAUGUCAAUUAGUAGUCAGGCAUGUACUAGCAAAUGGUUUUCAUUUGAAUAACAUUAAUUGCCACAAUUUGCUCAUGGCUGUCUCAAGUCUCAACCACUGCCCAACACAAACUCAUACUCUGAUUGGAGCAAGACAGUACUGAACUCCAAAUGGCAGCAACAUAUUGAUCAAGCUUGACCCCUCAACAGCUUACAUCCAUUGCAGGACUCAUGAAUGCGCAAUCAAUUAGUGUGUAUAUAUAUAUAUAUAUAUAUGGGUUUUCAGCAAAAAAAUAUAUAUAUAGGGGUUUUGGUUAGGAGAGAGAACAGGCACCG